GGGCCCGCACAAGCGGUGGAGCAUGUGGUUUAAUUCGAUGAUACGCGAGGAACCUUACCAGGGCUUAAAUGUAAGUUGCAUAGAUCAGAGAUGGUCUUUUCUUCGGACUACUUACAAGGUGCUGCAUGGUUGUCGUCAGCUCGUGCCGUGAGGUGUCAGGUUAAGUCCUAUAACGAGCGCAACCCCUGUCGUUAGUUGCCAGCAAGUUAAGUUGGGCACUCUAGCGAGACUGCCAGUGCAAACUGUGAGGAAGGUGGGGAUGACGUCAAAUCAUCACGGCCCUUACGUCCUGGGCUACACACGUGCUACAAUGGCCGGUACAGAGAGCAGCCACUACGCGAGUAGGAGCGAAUCUAUAAAACCGGUCUCAGUUCGGAUCGCAGUCUGCAACUCGACUGCGUGAAGCUGGAAUC
rnacentral:rRNA from 1 species